rnacentral:misc_RNA from 1 species
GAUCAUUACUGAUUUGCUUAAUUGCACCACAUGUGUUUUUUAUUGAACAAAUUUCUUUGGUGGCGGGAGCAAUCCUACCGCCAGAGGUUAUAACUAAACCAAACUUUUUAUUUACAGUCAAACUUGAUUUAUUAUUACAAUAGUCAAAACUUUCAACAACGGAUCUCUUGGUUCUCGCAUCGAUGAAGAACGCAGCGAAAUGCGAUACGUAAUAUGAAUUGCAGAUAUUCGUGAAUCAUCGAAUCUUUGAACGCACAUUGCGCCCUUUGGUAUUCCAAAGGGCAUGCCUGUUUGAGCGUCAUUUCUCCCUCAAACCCCCGGGUUUGGUGUUGAGCAAUACGCUAGGUUUGUUUGAAAGAAUUUAACG